rnacentral:rRNA from 1 species
UACGGAGGGUGCAAGCGUUAUCCGGAUUCACUGGGUUUAAAGGGUGCGUAGGUGGGCAGGUAAGUCAGUGGUGAAAUCUCCGGGCUUAACCCGGAAACUGCCAUUGAUACUAUUUGUCUUGAAUACCGUGGAGGUCAGCGGAAUAUGUCAUGUAGCGGUGAAAUGCUUAGAUAUGACAUAGAACACCAAUUGCGAAGGCAGCUGGCUACACGAAUAUUGACACUGAUGCACGAAAGCGUGGGGAGUCAAACAGGA